AGGAGCAACAGCCCCAGUGGCGGGGCCGCUCUGGAAACCUGGAUUCAGCCCCCGCAGGAACUCCGGAGCUCUCCGUCUGCAGGGCCUGGAGGCUCCGGGGCGGG
rfam:Canis lupus familiaris chromosome 3, whole genome shotgun sequence.